CCGACCUUAGCUCAAAUGGUAGAGCGGAGGACUGUAGAUCCUUAGGUCGCUGGUUCGAAUCCGGUAAGUCGGA
rnacentral:ncRNA from 15 species